rnacentral:rRNA from 1 species
UAGGGAAUCUUCGGCAAUGGACGGAAGUCUGACCGAGCAACGCCGCGUGAGUGAAGAAGGUUUUCGGAUCGUAAAGCUCUGUUGUUAGAGAAGAACGGUGGUAGGAGUGGAAAAUCUACCAAGUGACGGUAACUAACCAGAAAGGGACGGCUAACUACGUGCCAGCAGCCGCGGUAAUACGUAGGUCCCGAGCGUUGUCCGGAUUUAUUGGGCGUAAAGCGAGCGCAGGCGGUUCUUUAAGUCUGAAGUUAAAGGCAGUGGCUUAACCAUUGUACGCUUUGGAAACUGGAGGACUUGAGUGCAGAAGGGGAGAGUGGAAUUCCAUGUGUAGCGGUGAAAUGCGUAGAUAUAUGGAGGAACACCGGUGGCGAAAGCGGCUCUCUGGUCUGUAACUGACGCUGAGGCUCGAAAGCGUGGGGAGCAAACAGGAUUAGAUACCCUGGUAGUCCACGCCGUAAACGAUGAGUGCUAGGUGUUAGGCCCUUUCCGGGGCUUAGUGCCGCAGCUAACGCAUUAAGCACUCCGCCUGGGGAGUACGACCGCAAGGUUG